GGAGUACGACCGCAAGGUUGAAACUCAAAGGAAUUGGCGGGGGACCGUACAAGGGGUAGAGCAUGUGGUUGAAUUCGAAGCAGCGCGAGGUACCUUUCCAGGUCUGGACAUCUUAUGAGUACUCUGGGGACAGAGCUUUCCGUGGGGAGACAGAGUGACAGGUGGUGAAUGGAUGUCGUCAGGGCGUGUCGUGAGAUGUUGGGUUAAGUCCCGCAACGAGCGCAACCCUUGAUUUUAGUUGCCAGCAUUUAGUUG
rnacentral:rRNA from 1 species